AGCUCGUAGUUGAACGUUCGGGUUCCGCGGGACGGGGCCGCCCCGCGAGGGACGGCGCCGCCCCGGGGCUCGUGAUAUCUCAUCUCGCCGCCCGUCGCGAGGCGGACGGAGGGAUGGAUGAGGUUACCUGGAAAAAAUCGGGGCGAUCUAGGCGGGCGAACCUCGCCAACGAACGAUCGGACAUGGGAUAACGGAAGAGGGCGUCGGCUCGACUUCGUCGGUUCCUCGGGCCGAGGCACGUACGGUGAAUAGGGACGGUCGGGGGCCGCCCGUACCGGGUCGUGAGAGGUGAAAUUCUAGGAUCGACCCGAGACGAACCGCCGCGAAAGCAUUCGGCAAGGACGCUUUCAUUAAUCAAGAACGAAAGUCGGGGAUCGAAGACGAUCAGAUACCGUCGUAGUCCCGACCGUAAACGAUGCCGACCGAGGGCCCGGAGGAGUUACGUACGACCUCCGGGCCCUCCCGCGAGAAAUCAGGAGUAUUC
rnacentral:rRNA from 1 species